rnacentral:rRNA from 1 species
CGCAUCUGUGCAUGCAGCAUAUCAAUAAGCGGAGGAAAAGAAACUAACAAGGAUUCCCCUAGUAACGGCGAGUGAAGCGGGAAGAGCUCAAAUUUGAAAUCUUAAAGGGUUUCCCUUUACGAAUUGUAGUUUAAAGAAGUGUUUUCUGUUGAGGUUUUGGUAAAAGUUCUUUGGAAUAGGACAUCAUAGAGGGUGAGAAUCCCGUAUUUGACCUUUACUUUCAACUUUGUGAUACACUUUCAAAGAGUCGGAUUGUUUGGGAAUGCAGUCCAAAAUGGGUGGUAAAUUUCAUCUAAAGCUAAAUAUUGGCGAGAGACCGAUAGCGAACAAGUACCGUGAGGGAAAGAUGAAAAGAACUUUGAAAAGAGAGUUAAACAGUACGUGAAAUUGUCAAAAGGGAAGCGUUUGACACCAGUGUUGUUUUUCUGAAAAUCAAUUAAAGAACUGUUUAUGCUAAGUUGUUUAGACUUUAUCAGCUAACUGUUUAGUUUUGAGCUUUUCUUUAAUGCACUUUUCAGUUAACAAGUCAACAUCAAUUUCUUUUGCUGUAAAAGAGCUUGAGGUAGGUGGCUUGAGAUUCGUCUUAAGUGUUUAUAGCCUCUUGCCUAUGCAGUCGGAGAGAUUGAGGUCUGCAGCGUAGAUCCUUCGGGGCUAAAUGCAUUUGUGCUAAGUUAUAAGCAUUUUAUAGACAACUUGUUGACUAUGAUUUGUCUUGUAGCUUACUCGCUUAUGUUAUUUUACCUACGCUUAGGAUGUUGACAGCAGUAUAGACUGU